GAUGAACGCUGGCGGCGUGCCUAAUACAUGCAAGUCGAGCGAACGGACGAGAAGCUUGCUUCUCUGAUGUUAGCGGCGGACGGGUGAGUAACACGUGGAUAACCUACCUAUAAGACUGGGAUAACUUCGGGAAACCGGAGCUAAUACCGGAUAAUAUUUUGAACCGCAUGGUUCAAAAGUGAAAGACGGUCUUGCUGUCACUUAUAGAUGGAUCCGCGCUGCAUUAGCUAGUUGGUAAGGUAACGGCUUACCAAGGCAACGAUGCAUAGCCGACCUGAGAGGGUGAUCGGCCACACUGGAACUGAGACACGGUCCAGACUCCUACGGGAGGCAGCAGUAGGAAAUCUUCCGCAAUGGGCGAAAGCCUGACGGAGCAACGCCGCGUGAGUGAUGAAGGUCUUCGGAUCGUAAAACUCUGUUAUUAGGGAAGAACAUAUGUGUAAGUAACUGUGAACAUCUUGACGGUACCUAAUCAGAAAGCCACGGCUAACUACGUG
rnacentral:rRNA from 1 species